rnacentral:rRNA from 1 species
ACCCAAUAGAUACCCGGGUAGUCCACGCCCUAAACGAUGUCAACUGGUUGUCGGGGAAGUUAUUCCUUGGUAACGAAAGCUAAACGCGUGAAAGUUGACCGCCUGGGGAGUACGGCCGCAAGGUUAAAACUCAAAGGAAUUGACGGGGACCCGCACAAGCGGUGGAUUAUGUGGAUUAAUUCGAUGCAACGCGAAAAACCUUACCUACCCUUGACUUGUCAGGAAUCCCGCAGAGAUGUGGGAGUGCCCGAAAGGGAACCUGAACACAGGUGCUGCAUGGCUGUCGUCAGCUCGUGUCGUGAGAUGUUGGGUUAAGUCCCGCAACGAGCGCAACCCUUGCCAUUAGUUGCCACAUUCAGUUGGGCACUCUAAUGGGACUGCCGGUGACAAACCGGAGGAAGGUGGGGAUGACGUCAAGUCCUCAUGGCCCUUAUGGGUAGGGCUUCACACGUAAUACAAUGGCCGGUACAGAGGGCUGCCAACCCGCGAGGGGGAGCAAAUCCCAGAAAGCCGGUCGUAGUCCAGAUUGUUCUCUGCAACUCGAGAGCAUGAAGUCGGAA